rnacentral:lncRNA from 1 species
CCAAACUGAAGUUGCUGGCGUCUAUCUUCCACGAGAACCAGGAGGCUCAGCUGCGGCUCACGCUCCACUGCAACAUGAGAAUGGGACAACAGAAGAAGUGACUUCAGAGGAAGAGGAAGAAGAGGAGAUGGCUGAAACAUAUAGGAGGUCCAGGCAGCAUGAACAGCUCCCUGGUCAGAGACACAUGGAUUUGCUCACUGGUUACUCAAAGCUGAUUCAAAGCCGAUUAAAGCUGCUGCUUCAUCUGGGGUCCCAACCUCCAGUGGGAAAAACAUUCUUCUUUUCCUGCUGGUGUCACCCACUGUUCCACGGAUCCAAAACAACACCCAAUGUUUGGUACAAAUUUAGUGAAACAGCUCUUUCCAUUCUUAACUCAUGCCAAGCAUCUCAGCUUGGGGUCAGGAAAAUGCCAGGGGACAUGAGCUCUUCUCCUAGAGUUAGAGAAUUCUCUGCCUUAGUUGCAAUAAAGGAAAAGAUACACAUUCUUCCUACAAAUGCCAAAGUAGGCUCAAAAUUUGGUUCCUAGAGUAGAGUAUUGAAGUCGUGGCAAAGAUCUUUCCAGUGAUCAAAGCAGUGGCUCGUUAUGUUCCCUCAGACUGAAGCUACAGUCUCAUCUUCACUUUCUGUUAGCUCCCUCCAUCCUCUGCGUAGGCCCACACCUGCUUCUUACAGUUGUGUGGAUUAUAGCACCUCCUCUCCAGCCUCAGGACCUUUGUGAGUGCUGCUCCUUCUUCCUUGACUGCUCUUCACCAGGGAUCCUCAGGGCACAGCCCUUACCUCCUGCAAGUCUUGACUUAAAUGUCACUUUCUCAGGGAGGCCCACACUCAUCACCAUUUCACACCCACCUCCCACAUGACCUUAUUUUACCUGUUCUCUCUUCUCCUCUUUUUUUUAGAGUACUUAUGAUCUCAUGUGGUACAUUUUGGGGUUUUUGGUUCUUCUGUAUCCGCCACUGCCAUGAUCAGUUAGAAUGUUGGAAACCAAGGAAACUUGGUUUUUUGGCCUGUGAUGAAAACUAUGGGGUCUAAUAGUAUCUGAUAAAGUGGCAGACCCUCAAUUAUUAUUUGCUGAGUAAAUGAAUGAAGGUGUGUAGACAACUAGCUCUAGAAGCUUAAAUGAGUGAUACCAUGUUUUAUAACAUUGGAAGAGGCCGGGAAUGGUGGCUCACGCCUGUAAUCUCAGCAUUUUGGGAGGCCAAGGUGGAUGGAUCUCUUGAGGUCAGGAGUUUGAGACCAGCCUGGCCAACAUGGUGAAACCUUGUCUCUACUAAAAAUGCAAAAAUUAGCUGGACGUGGUGGCACACGCCUGUAAUCCCAGCUACUCUGGAGGCUGAGGCACAGCAUCACUUGAACCCAGGAGGCAGAGGUUGCAGUGAGCUGAGAUGGUGCCACUGCACUCCAGCCUGGGCAACAGAGUGAGACUCUGUCUCCAAAAACAGAAAAAAGAAAGGGGGGGAAGAAAAGAAGAAGGAAGAGGAAAGGGAGGAGGAGGAUUUAUCAUUCACUUACACUAGAAACAGUGAAAAUAGAUAAUAGCUAUAAUUUACUCACAUCUUAUCUAAAACACAAAUUCAGGGUAAUUUAUGAGCAAGUCAUUUUCCGGUGGGCUUUCGAUAGUGUGUGAAUUUGGAAUGAAUGCUGGUACUUCCAGCUCCCUUCCACCUGCAGCACCAGGAAGCCAUUGUUGUGGGGAGGCCACCAACUUGGCUGGCAUGUUGCUUCUGCCUCAGUUAGUGAUGAUGGUGAUUUGGAGAGAAAGGACACUCUGCUAGGCUCCAAAUCCAAAGGAUCAAGUGGAUAAAUGAAAUGAAUAUCUAAAUAAAUAUCAAUUAGGUCAAAAGUUUGUUUUCAUCUAAAUGAAAUCUGAACACUACUUAGGGCUAUGAAACAUAGCCAGAGGACAUGGCCAGCUCUGGAGUGGGGCCUGGACUUGCUCUCCCCUGCUGGAAGUGCUUUUCCUCCCAGAGCUCAGAGCACCAUGUGCGUGUGACCCCUGCCUUUUCACAGGCCAUUGCCACAGGGCAUCUCCCUGGUCCACCCGCCCCAAGAUGAGCCAGCCUCCCACUCAGGAAGUGGGUGGGGAAGGGAAAGAAAGACAGAGGAGAGAGAGACAGUCACACACAGGCAGUGGAGCUCCCCUGCACCCACCAGGGAGCUUGAGCAGCUCAUCUGCAGAGCAGGGAAACAUUUUUACUACCAUUGGGAAGACGCUGAGCAGAGAGGUGAGGGGACAGCAUUUCUUGUCUCCCUGUGGCUUGUUCCACUCACAGUUCAGUUUCUCCUGUUCUUGGGGAAAAGGAGGGAAACUGUAUUAGUCAGGGUUCUACAGAGAAACAGACCCAAUAAGAUGUGUGCAUGUGUGUGUGUGUUUAUAUAUGUUCACAGAAUGUAUAUAUGUGUAUAUAUAUGUAUAUGGAUAACUGCAUAUAUAUAUUAUUUAUAGAGAGAGAGAAGAGCAGGAGACAGAGAUAAAGAGAGAUUCAUAUAAAGAAUUAUAUUCAUAAUUUAUAUAAUAAUUUGUUCCUUUAAUCAUAAAGUCUGGCAAGUCCAAAAUCUGCAGGGCAGGCCAGAAGCCUGGGCACCCCGGAAAGAGUUGCAUCUAGACUCUGAAGACGGUCUGGAGGCAGAAUUCCCUCUUUCCCAGGGAAUUCCAGUCUGUUUUCUCUGAAGGCCUUUACUGACUAGAUGAGGCCCCCACACACAUGGAAAGCAAUCUGCCCUACUGAAAGUCUACUGACUUAGAGGUUUAGCUCAUCUAAAAAAUACCUUCGUAGCAAUUUCGAGACUGGUAUUUGACCAAAUAGCUGAGUAGGUUGGCCUAGCCAAUCUGACACAUAAAAUUAACUAUCACAGAAACAAAAUAAUCAAUAUAGGUAAUAACUGUGCCAGAAUGCUGUGAUGUUUCAGGAUGACCUUGUUUACAUUUACAUUUAUUGUCAAAACUUACCUUCUCUUUUUAUAUGGGCAAUUAAAUCUGCUACUGAGGGUAUCAAGUACUGAUUUAAUUUACAAUCUUAAUAGAUAAGAUAGGUUCCUAUUUUCUCCUCUCCAUAAAAGUAAUAAGUUUGGAGAAACCAGGUCGGAAAUACCUCUCCAGAUUUUAAAGCAUAACCUCUUGUUUGGAAUAAUAAGUAUGUAAAUAAGCACCAUAAAAUAUGAAACCAAACAUUUCAUCAUUCUUUUAUAUACAUUAUCCCUUGCAUUUUUAAAAAAUAAGGAACACCUUAUUAGCCAUAUUUUCAAAUGGUGAAACCAACACCCCCAGCUCAGACUCUGCCGUGGUAGGCUCCAGGGUCACUGAUACCAGAUCCCAUGGUAUUUUCACUAUAUCCCACUCUUUCUUUGCAUGUGGCUCUUUUUUAGCUGCAUUGCGGGUAAACAGGUGUGGCUCUUUUCAAACCAAUUCCAUGCAUAUGUGAAGAAAAUUGAUCCUGAAGUUCCUUUUGCCAAAGAUGCUUAUGGAGAAGUGUCUGUGUCUGGACAGACAAAAGUGUCCAUUUUUGCCUCGAAGCUUGGCAAAAUUGAAAUUGAUGAUGGGGAAGCUAGAAAUACUUCAGUCUACAUUUCGAAUCCCAGCUGCGGGGAGGCUGGUUGAGGAUUGCCCAUCCCUCAGUCUGGGCUGGAUUCUCCCUCCAGUCUCUGGGGUUCUCUUUUCUAUUCACAAGAGGGUGCUAAUGAGAUGGUUUAAUCUCUAUACCCUGUGGUCCACAAAUACAAGAUGCCAGCGUGGCCAAUGGGGCUUCCAUAAGAGUGGCAAUCAGGGGUCUCAAGCUUACCAUGACGUUUUGGGCCCUGGAAUCAGAUCAUAGUUCUACAGUUGUCCUGGCACUAGAACUCAUGACAAGGUUGUGACUAGACAGAAGGAGAGAAGGCUGGAGGCUGACAGGAAGCAAUGUGAACAAAUGCCUUCGCAGGAUGCAUGGGUUUGGGCAACAGAUGGUCAGGGGAGGUGCUGGUGCAGACGGGCUCAGUAGCAAAGCAAUAACUGUGGAUGGCCAUUUUAUGGCUGCAGAUCACAGCACAUUUAUAAAAGAUGUGUGUUUCAUGAAAAUGUGCAUUUCAUCGUGGAAAUACUGUGGUUGGAGGAGAUUUCUCAAAGCUGAUAAAUAAGUGUAGGUGACUUAACUUGCAAAAGAUGAUCAUAUGUGAGAACGGAUGUCUCAAAUUAGGAAAUAACUUGUUAAGUAAAAAAGCCUCAUGUAUUGAUUUGAAGAAAAAGAUAUUUUGGUGCUCAUCAAAAUAAAAGUAUAAUAAGCUGAAAAAAAAAAAAAAAAAAAAAAAAAAAAAAAAAAAAAAAAAAAAA